rnacentral:rRNA from 1 species
GCGUAAGAGCUCGUAGGCGGUUUGUCGCGUCUGCCGUGAAAGUCCGGGGCUCAACUCCGGAUCUGCGGUGGGUACGGGCAGACUAGAGUGAUGUAGGGGAGACUGGAAUUCCUGGUGUAGCGGUGAAAUGCGCAGAUAUCAGGAGGAACACCGAUGGCGAAGGCAGGUCUCUGGGCAUUAACUGACGCUGAGGAGCGAAAGCAUGGGGAGCGAACAGGAUUAGAUACCCUGGUAGUCCAUGCCGUAAACGUUGGGCACUAGGUGUGGGGGACAUUCCACGUUUUCCGCGCCGUAGCUAACGCAUUAAGUGCCCCGCCUGGGGAGUACGGCCGCAAGGCUAAAACUCAAAGGAAUUGACGGGGGCCCGCACAAGCGGCGGAGCAUGCGGAUUAAUUCGAUGCAACGCGAAGAACCUUACCAAGGCUUGACAUGGACCGGACCGCCGCAGAAAUGUGGUUUCCCCUUUGGGGCUGGUUUACAGGUGGUGCAUGGUUGUCGUCAGCUCGUGUCGUGAGAUGUUGGGUUAAGUCCCGCAACGAGCGCAACCCUCGUUCUAUGUUGCCAGCACGUGAUGGUGGGGACUCAUAGGAGACUGCCGGGGUCAACUCGGAGGAAGGUGGGGACGACGUCAAAUCAUCAUGCCCCUUAUGUCUUGGGCUUCACGCAUGCUACAAUGGCCGGUACAAAGGGUUGCGAUACUGUGAGGUGGAGCUAAUCCCAAAAAGCCGGUCUCAGUUCGGAUUGGGGUCUGCAACUCGACCCCAUGAAGUCGGAGUCGCUAGUAAUCGCAGAUCAGCAACGCUGCGGUGAAUACGUUCCCGGGCCUU